UGAGUACGAGCUGCUACGGCAGCGAAGUGGGUGAUGUCAAGCUUCCAAGAAAAGCCCUAUACCCGUUAAGGCAUGACGGCCUGUACCCGAAACCGACACAGGUGGGGUGGUAGAGAAUACCGAGGGGCGCGAGGUAACUCUCUCUAAGGAACUCGGCAAAAUGGCCCCGUAACUUCGGGAGAAGGGGUGCCACCGCAAGGUGGUCGCAGUGAAGAGGUCCAGGCGACUGUUUACCAAAAACACAGGUCUCCGCUAAGUCGCAAGACGAUGUAUGGGGGCUGACGCCUGCCCAGUGCCGGAAGGUUAAGGAAGCUGGUCAGCGCAAGCGAAGCUAGCGACUGAAGCCCCGGUGAACGGCGGCCGUAACUAUAACGGUCCUAAGGUAGCGAAAUUCCUUGUCGGGUAAGUUCCGACCCGCACGAAAGGCGUAACGAUCUGGGCGCUGUCUCGGAGAGAGGCUCGGCGAAAUAGAAUUGUCUGUGAAGAUGCGGACUACGUGCACCCGGACAGAAAGACCCUAUGAAGCUUUACUGUAGCUUGGUAUUGUGCCCGGGCUCUGAAUGCGCAGGAUAGGUGGGAGGCGUUGAAGAUUUCCUUCCGGGGAAGUUGGAGCCAUCAGUGAGAGACCACUCUGGGAAGGCUAGAAUUCUAAUGGUGUUCCUUCUAUCAGGACACUUGACAGUUUCAGAUUGACAGUUUAUCUGGGGCGGAUGCCUCAUAAAAAGUAACUGAGGCGUGCAAAGGUUCCCCCAGUCUGGACGGAAAUCAGACAGUGAGUGUAAAGGCAAAAGGGAGCUUGACUGCAAGACCUACAAGUCGAGCAGGAACGAAAGUUGGCCUUAGUGAUCCGACGAUGCCGUGUGGAAGGGUCGUCGCUCAACGGAUAAAAGUUACUCUAGGAUAACAGGCUAAUCUUCUCCAAGAGUUCACAUCGACGAGAAGGUUUGGCACCUCGAUGUCGGCUCAUCACAUCCUUCGGCUGCAGUAGGUCGAAAGGGUUGGGCUGUUCGCCCAUUAAAGUGGUACGUGAGCUGGGUUCAGAACGUCGUGAGACAGUUCGGUCCAUAUCCGGUAUUAGCGCAAGAGUAUUGAGGGGAGCCUUCCAUAGUACGAGAGGACCUGUGAAGGACAUGCCUAUGGUGUACCAGUUAUUCUUCCAAGGGUAAACGCUGGGUAGCUACGCAUGGAGUGGAUAAGUGCUGAAAGCAUCUAAGUACGAGGCCCACCCCAAGAUGAGUACUCUCCAUUAGAUCGCGGGAAGACCACCCGUUGAUAGGUAUCAAGUGUAAGGUCUGUAAGGAUUUCAGCUGAGAUAUACUAAAGAUCGA
rnacentral:rRNA from 1 species